GUUCCCACCAUGGCCUGGACGGUGCUUCUCUUCCAGCUCCUCACUUACAGCUCAGGGGUGGAUUCUCAGACUGUGGUGACCCAGGAGCCGUCACUGUCAGUGUCUCCUGGAGGGACGGUCACACUCACCUGUGGACUGAGCUCUGGGUCAGUCACUAGCAGUAACUAUCCCAGCUGGUACCAGCAGACCCCGGGCAAGGCUCCCCGCAUGCUCAUAUACAACACAAACAGCCGGCCCUCGGGGGUCCCUGAUCGCUUCUCUGGAUCCAUCUCUGGGAACAAAGCCGCCCUCACCAUCACGGGGGCCCAGCCCGAGGAUGAAGCCGACUAUUACUGUGCUCUGGACAUGGGUAGUUACAUUUACACAGUGAUGCAGACCCACGGGGAAGUGCAACCAAAACCUCCUUGUGUGCUCAGGAUGGCUCAGCCUGAGAUGCAGAAAACUGUGAAAGGGGGGAAAUGCCAACACACCACAGGGAGGGGCUCUGUGUCCCUGUCCUCCUGUACAGCCCUUCAUCGGCAUGUGCCUCCUCCAGUCUCUCCUGGGGUGUGUCCAUCUCUCAGUGUGACUCCUGCAACAAUGGGCUUUCUCUUUUCCCCUCUGUCCAUACUUAUGGGGUGUGGACUCAGCUCCAAAAUGUAUGAACAGUGAGAUUCACACACCCCACAGGUUCCUGUAGGACUCUUCUCGUUCAAAGAACUUUAACAACAUACCCUCAGUGAUUAUUUGAUUGUGAAAACAAACUUAAUAUUUCUUUUGAAAGUGAAAUGGGAGCCUUCCCUGGGACUUGUUGGAAAUGUAAUGUCUUACACUAGACCCACUGAGUGAGAUAUUUGUAGUGUUGUCCCAGAAUCUUUAUGUCCAGGAGGUUGUAAAAGGUGAAGGUUUCAAAGU